UAAGUUUCAUAAAUUAUAAAGUGAUAAAAUCAUAUUCUAUUUGAUACAUGCAAAGGUUGGAAAAUAUGUUUAAAAUUAUCAAGUUUAUUUGUGUUAUGAUUAUUCUUCUUUCCCUAUUUCUUGUUGCAACAAGUAUUAAAUUGGGACAUGAAUGUGUUUAUGCUAAAGAUUGUAUCGAGCUACGAUGCCCAUAUCCUUCUAAACCGAGGUGUCUUAAAAAUAAGUGUGUAUGUCGUUAUUAAUUAUUCUAUGAGUUGUUAUGUAGCUAUUGUUAUGUGACACCCAUUAAUUUAAUUUUCUUUUAGCUUUCAAAUUUCACGGACCUUAUUAUUAUGUGCUAUAAUAAAAUAAUAUGAUGCUACUGAAAUGAAAUAAAGUAUCAAAGAAUAUUAUGUGUAUUAUUGGAUUCUCCUUUAAUAUCAAUUAAAAAAUAUCACAUUUUCUUUCCUAUUCUCCCACUUAUAUUAAAAUGUUUAUUCUAACAUAAAAGAUAUUCUCAUGUCUUGUAUGGUGCACCACAUAUUUUAAUUUUUAGGUCAAAUUAUCUCGCAAGAUCUUAUCAUGGACCCUCAACACUAUAUCAACUCUCAUUGUUUAUUUUUUGAAAAAUCACACUCAAUUAUUUUUUUUCUCCUUCUUCUUCACUAUGGUGAAAGAAAAACAAAAUCACCAAUCAUUUUAAAUUUCAAGAUUUAUAGACUUAAAUUAUCAA